rnacentral:ncRNA from 1 species
GAAAGGCUGCUUAAAAGGCAGCUGGAUGUAAACCAAUACAUCCCAGUUAAG